AAGUCGUAACAAGGUCUCCGUAGGUGAACCUGCGGAGGGAUCAUUACACAAAAAAAUAUGCAGGCUGACUGCGACUGCGCCCACCCGGCCAGUUUGCUGAGGCCGAAAUAUUUUUUCACCCAUGUCUUUUGCGCACUUGUUGUUUCCUGGGCGGGUUCGCCCGCCACCAGGACCACACCAUAAACCUUUUUAUCUGUAGUUGUAAUCAGCGUCAGUAACAAGUAAAUAAUUAUUUACAACUUUCAACAACGGAUCUCUUGGUUCUG
rnacentral:misc_RNA from 1 species